UGUCAUCCAGAAGCACAGCACAAGUUUGAAAUACAGACAGGAUAGAGCCAAUACUUUUAACUUUAAAUACAAAACUAAUACAUGCACCCAGACAGCAUAACCAUAACCAGCCAAUCAUAACCUUGUCUGAGACACCUUAUUAGACCCCCUUUAUACAAGAUUUGGUGCCACUGCAGGACCUUGGUUGCAACAGGGAUCUAUACGGUCCCAGUUCAUGUCAAUGUAACACAUU